GUUGAACGCUGGCGGCAGGCCUAACACAUGCAAGUCGAGCGCAAAAGUUCUUCGGAAUGAGUAAAGCGGCGGACGGGUGAGUAAUACAUGGGAAUCUGCCUGGUAGUGGGGGACAACGUUUCGAAAGGAACGCUAAUACCGCAUACGCCCUACGGGGGAAAGGGGGGGAUCGGCAAGACCUCUCGCUAUCAGAUGAGCCC
rnacentral:rRNA from 1 species